AAAAAAAUAUCCACAAAUAUAAUCUGGUUACAAUAUUCCUCUGAGCUUUCAUAUAAAUGUCUGGUUGGUUGGUUUACUAAGAAACCACCAAUUCAGGCUUCCAAUCCUAUAAAUAUAUUAGGAUUUCCUAUUUAAAAAAAAUAAGCUGCCAAAUCUGAGGAGUUUUUUUCUUCAUUUUACCAUAUUCCCAUCUUCCAAGUAAAGUUGUUGAUCAAUCUUUAAAAAAAAAUCUAAAUAAAUUUGGACAGACAUGACAGAGGAAUAAUGUAGAUCAGUUGUAUGAAUUUUGGACCAUACUGUAGAAUGCAUAAGGAGGCUUGAGGAUACAAAAAAUUCAAAUAAAUUUUCAAUAUAUAUUUUUUUUAUUACAAAUUUUUUAUCUACACUAUUAGUUGUUACUUUAUGAUAUGGUACAAAAAAUAAACCCAAAAA
rnacentral:lncRNA from 1 species